rnacentral:lncRNA from 1 species
UGUAUGGUUAGAUAUAUCUCUCCCACAGCCUGUAGUGUCUGUAUGGUUAGAUAUAUCUCUCCCACAGCCUGUAGUGUCUGUAUGGUUAGAUAUAUCUCUCCUACAGCCUGUAGUGUCUGUAUGGUGUGAGAUAUCUCUCCUACAGCCUGUAGUGUCUGUAUGGUUAGAUAUAUCUCUCCUACAGCCUGCAGUGUCUGUAUGGUUCUGAUAAGGGACGUCUCCGUGGCCCUCUCCCUGGAGCCUCUCUAGCUCCUCCACCUCAGCCAAGCUGAAGUGAAACUCGUCCCCCAACCCGGACACGGCUGAGUCCUCACUGCUCCAGUAGUGCUUGUAGGCCAGGUAGGACAGGAACUCCUCAGAGUCCUCAGGGGGGUAUUCUAGGGGGCUGUCUGGUGUCUCCCCCAGGAGGUCAGAGGUAAACGUGGAGGGCUCUGUCAGGGAAGGGGACUCAUCAUGGGUUUUAUCUCCACCCUCCUCUGAGCUGCUUUGGGGGGCUACCUCUACCUUGGAGGGCCACUGCUCUGGCCCCUUACCCCUUGUACAGGGAGACCCCAACACCGACCCUUCGCUGGCCUUGGUGUUGUUGUUGGAGUCAGAGAGGCAGGACAGAGGCAGGAUGGAGGGUGGCACGGUGCAGAGAGAGAGUUCAGGCCCAGAAAUGCUGUGAUGGAUGUCUAGCUCCUUCAGCUGACUCUGGACCUCGUCGUUACACACAGUAGAGUCUGUUCCCAGGGUAAUCUUUAUCCUCCUCAGCGGCGUGGCUUCCUGAUCUAAGGCAGAGGGUUCUGUGCUGUCUCCCUGAAGAGAUUCAGUCUCUGUAGGUUGGGUUGACCCCUGGCCUAUGUCACUAGACACACCCUGUGAGCUGAGGUCAACAAGCAGAUCACUGGUGAUCUCUUUGAAGACUCCUGUAGGGCUGAAGGGGACUAUAGCAUCCUCUGUCUCCUCUGUGCUUGGCAGCCCAAUAUGGUCAGAGUCAGAGAGUUCUGCUAUAACAGUGUUUGUACGGUCAGAGAGUUCUGCUAUAACAGUGACUGUACGGUCAGAGAGUUCUGCUAUAACAGUGUCUGUACGGUCAGAGAGUUCUGCUAUAACAGUGUCUGUACAGUCAGAGAGUUCUGCUAUAACANUGUCUGUACGGUCAGAGAGUUCUGCUAUAACAGUGUCUGUACGGUCAGAGAGUUCUGCUAUAACAGUGUCUGUACAGUCAGAGAGUUCUGCUAUAACAGUGUUUGACUGUGCUGAAUAAGGACAGGACGUGCUUUCUACUGCCUGCUCCUGCUGACUGUAAACAUGACUAUCUUCCUCCUCCUCUCGCUCCUCCUCCUUCUCUUCCUCUCUUUCCACAGACAGGGAAUGGGUUGAUCCUGUUCUGUACUCUCUGUCUGAGGUCUUCAGCUGGGAAUGUUCUGAGUCGUCUGACCCUAAGCUGUCAGAGCAAAGCGACCUGUCUAUGUGGGGGAGGGAGUAGGGGUUGGAGGGUAGGCAUUCCUCAAUGCCCCCCUCAGUGUCAGACUGAGGAUGAGCAAAACCAGGCUUGAGCUCUACAGAGGUGGAGCCUUCCCUCAGCCAGGCCUCAUCCCACUCAUGCUCCCCAGGUGAGUGCUCACUGUCCCUGGGUGUCUCUGGGCUAGAGCCCCCCUGGUCCUGGAGCUCAGGGAUUAGGCCCUGGGUUUGAACGGCAUCCUUUUCCUGGGGUUGUGAACUGGAGUGCUGUGUUUGUUGUUGUUGUCGUUGUUGUAUCUCUGUAAUUCCUCCACUCUCUAGCCCAGUAGGUAGGACAGGUGAGGCUAACUGGGAUUCUGACUGGUUGAUCCCCUUCCUGUUUAGUGACGGUGAGAGAUACGGGUCGGGAACAGGUAUAGGCACACGGGCGUCUAGCAAGUAAGGAAGUCCCGCCUCUUCAGGAAGUCCCACGUCUACAGUAAGUCCCGCCUCUAAAGGAAGUCCAGCCUCCACGGACGAUAUGAUUGGACAGAUCCCGUUCACCGUAUUUGACGGUUCAGUCGGCUCUGCUGAGUUCCUGUUGGUGACACACACCUCGUGCUCUUCCUGGCAGCGGACACCUGAUACGCAUGCCUCAAUGUGGAGCUUUGUAGCACCGAGGCAGGCCUGAGGCUGGGUCUUUGUGACAGGUCCGUUGAGGAUACCCACACAUGGACUGGCUGAAUGGACGUUCCUUGUGGUUUCUAAAGUGUGUGGCACUGGGCUGUGUGUCUCUGUGUAGGGUGUGCUACUCCUCUCUGUGUCUGUGUUGGGUGUUCUACUCCUCUCUGUCUCUGUGUUGGGUGUGCUACUCCUCUCUGUCUCUGUGUUGGGUGUGCUACUCCUCUCUGUGUCUUUGUUGGGUGUUCUACUCCUCUCUGUCUCUGUGUUGGGUGUGCUACUCCUCUCUGUCUCUGUGUUGGGUGUGCUA